GAAGCUCGGCAUGCCAAGAGCAUCACCCUGUAGCUAUGCGUCCUUCUCUAACAAACACUCAAAGCACUACCAUGCCGGGCUGUGGGUGCGUACGAUUUGAAUCUGCAGUAAAGACUGGUACUGCCUCAUCGACCAAGGAUCUACAGCGACGGCGGGACCAUCGACCCCAUGGAGGCAGCACCAAAACCCUAGCCGCUACUGCUCUCCCCUGAGUCCCCUCCUCAUCUCCUUCCUCGUGCGAUGCUCUGCUUCAUCUUUUCUCAAGCCUCCACCAGUCAAAUUCGACCGGGAAAAAGAAACACCUACAUACAUAUUAUCGGAUGUUCAAGCUGGAGGAUGUGGCGAUGGAAUAUGGAUCAAUGAGAUGAAGAAAGGUGUUGAUGUCAAGUACCAGAAUGAUGGAAGGAUCUUGUGGUUAUCUAGUUGCCCACCAGCAGGAUUCAAUGUAGAUGAUGUGCCUCUAGGGCAAAUUCUAGAAACGAAAGCGACCCAUUUUUGCUCUCAAACAAUGAACAUAUUUUGUUCCCUAUUUAAUAAGUUAAAUUAGUUUAUGGGAAAUUUUGAUGUGAAAAUUAUUGAAUGUGUGUUAUUAUUGUUUGGUUUUGGUUUA